rnacentral:rRNA from 1 species
AGGGCACCACCAGGAGUGGAGCCUGCGGCUUAAUUUGAUUCAACACGGGAAAACUCACCCGGCCCGGACACCGUAAGGAUUGACAGACUGAGAGCUCUUUCUUAAUUCGGUGGGUGGUGGUGCAUGGCCGUUCUUAGUUGGUGGAGCGAUUUGUCUGGUUAAUUCCGAUAACGAACGAGACUCUGGCCUACUAAAUAGACGGUAUAUCUGAAAGUAUACCGCGCUUCUUAGAGGGACAAGCGGCGUUUAGCCGCAUGAAAUAGAGCAAUAACAGGUCUGUGAUGCCCUUAGAUGUCCGGGGCUGCACGCGCGCUACACUGAAAGAAUCAGCGUGCGAUGAACCUGGUCCGGAAGGAUCGGGUAACCCGAGUAAAUUCUUUCGUGCUUGGGAUAGGGAAUUGCAAUUAUUUCCCUUAAACGAGGAAUUCCCAGUAAAUGCGGGUCAUAAGCUCGCGUUGAUUACGUCCCUGCCCUUUGUACACACCGCCCGUCGCUACUACCGAUUGAAUGACUUAGUGA